rnacentral:sRNA from 1 species
GUCGUGAGAUGUUGGGUUAAGUCCCGCAACGAGCGCAACCCUUGUCUCAUGUUGCCAGCACGUUAUGGUGGGGACUCGUGAGAGACUGCCGGGGUCAACUCGGAGGAAGGUGGGGAUGACGUCAAGUCAUCAUGCCCCUUAUGUCCAGGGCUUCACACAUGCUACAAUGGCCGGUACAAAGGGCUGCGAUGCCGUGAGGUGGAGCGAAUCCUUUCAAAGCCGGUCUCAGUUCGGAUCGGGGUCUGCAACUCGACCCCGUGAAGUCGGAGUCGCUAGUAAUCGCAGAUCAGCAACGCUGCGGUGAAUACGUUCCCGGGCCUUGUACACACCGCCCGUCACGUCAUGAAAGUCGGUAACACCCGAAGCCGGUGGCCUAACCCCGUGUGGGAGGGAGCCGUCGAAGGUGGGAUCGGCGAUUGGGACGAAGUCGUAACAAGGUAGCCGUACCGGAAGGUGCGGCUGGAUCACCUCCUUUCUAAGGAGCACCACGAGACCCCGGCCGGCCCGCAUAUCGCGGAUCACCGCGACCGUGGGCGAAUCUGUGGAUGGCCGUGACCUGUAGUGGGUCGCGGUCUGGUGCACGACAAACGUUGAGCCGGUACGGAAUCGAGUGAUCGAUGCCGGUGAUGGAAUUGCCAGACACACUAUUGGGCUUUGAGACAACAGGCCCGCUAUCUCUUCGUCCCGAGUGUGGGAAACCGGAGAUAGGACUGGUUGUCGCCCCGGUCUUUGGUGGUGGGGUGUGGUGUUUGAUUUGUGGAUAGUGGUUGCGAGCAUCUGGCGCGCAUGGUGGUCACCACCCUUUUUUGGGGGUGGUGGUUUUCUGUGUGUGUCUGAUGUGCAAUUUCAAAGUUUUUAUAACUUUUGGUUUUGUGUUGUAAGUGUUUAAGGGCGCAUGGUGGAUGCCUUGGCACUGGGAGCCGAUGAAGGACGUGGGAGGCUGCGUUAUGCCUCGGGGAGCUGUCAACCGAGCGUGGAUCCGAGGAUGU